GGGCCCGGGGGCACCAGAACCUCCUGCGCGGCCCCGCGUGUACGACCCGGCCCCCGCCAUGGCGGCAACUGCGGCGGAGACGCGCGUGUUCCUGGAGGUGCGGAGACGGCUGCCGAGCGCGCUGCUAAUCGUGGGGGAGCCAAGAGAAGGGCUGCCUAUGGACAUUUCCAUAACGCCUUCCUCACUCCAGAUGAGAACGUCUGACGGCUGCACAGACAUCGAGCUGCCAGCAGAGGUCAGGCUUGUGCCUUCCUCCUGCCGCGGGCUGCGCUAUGUCCCUGGAGAGGGACUGCACCUGCGGCUGCAGGCGCGGACCGAGUUCAGCACCAAACAGAUUUCACUGUUUAAUCAACGCUCACACAUCCAAGGAUGUUGCACAUUUCAUUGCCAAUCCUGUGGUGAAGCCAUAAUAAAGGACAGGAAGCUCCUGAGGAUACUGCCACUUCCAAGUGAGAACUGGGGAGCUCUAGUUGGAGAAUGGUGCUGCCAUCCUGACCCCUUUGCUAACAAGCCACUACAUCCACGAGAGAAUGACUGUCUCAUUGGUGAUUCUUUCUUCUUGGUGAAGUUAAGAAGUGACAGGUGGCAGGAACCAAAGGCAAAUACCAAAGUAAUUUGUAAGCGUUGCAAAGUAAUAUUGGGAGAGACCAUGUCAUCAGAAACCACUAAGUUUUAUAUGACUGAGAUAAUUAUUCAGCCGUCUGAGAGAAGUUUUCCCAUCCUGCCAAGGUCUCAAUUUGUACAGAGCAUUGUUGCCCAGUGUCUGGUGGAGCUCUCCUCUGCUAGGAGCACGUUUAGAUUCACCAUUCAAGGUCAGGAUGGCAAAGUGUACAUCUUGCUGUGGCUUUUAAACUCUGACAGUUUGGUCAUUGAAUCUUUGAGAAGUCCUGAAGGUAUCAAAAAAUUCCCCUUGUUGGAAGACACAUCAACAGAUUCUCCUUCUGCUGGGAAUGCUGUCAAGGUCCUUUACCAGCCAUGUGUCAAAAUUAAGAAUGAAAAGCUUGCCAGCUCGUGGGAAAGUGACAUCAGUGUCCACUCAUUGACCCUGCCCUGUGCAACCUGCUUAGAGCUGCUGUUGAUAUUAUCCAGGAGCAAUGCCACCCUGCCGCCUUCUCUUCGCCAUAUGAAUUCCUUUCAGGGAUUGCUGUACCAAGAUGAAAGCUUUGUUAUUGCCAGUCCCACUGUUCACAUCUCCCUGCUAUGCUCCAUCAGACCAGCCUCUGGGUAAAAAUCCAACAGCUCCUUAACAAAUCAAGAACACUACCAGAGAGGAAGAGAGCUUAGAGAACAGAUGCUCUUGGGGAAAGAAAUGAAGCUAAUGGCUUAAAAAAUUGAAAUGUACAAGGAGUCUUCAAAAGUUCAUGGAAAUGCAUAGUAUGAUAAACAUUAAGCAUAUUUUUAAGGGUUUUUUGCACCAAACUAAAGUCAUGCUAACUUGUUAUAAUUUGUAUGAACAUGAUCUAGUCUGAGGCACUAAUGAGGGUAAGACGUUUGGAUGAAGAUAGCAUCUAUCAGACCAACAUGAAUUCUGUUAAAUAGAAGCAAUAGCAAAUAUCCAAUUUGUAGCGAAGCUUGGGUGCAAGAAUGGUGAAAUCAUUGAUGCUUUACAAAAAGUUUAUGGGUACAAUAAAGUCAUUGCUUACAAAUGGAUAACUCAUUUUCAGAAGGGAUGGGGUGAUGUUGAAGAUGAAGCCUGCUGGAGCAAAGCAUUCAUAUCAAUCCAUGAAGAAAAAAAAAAGUUGCUUAUGCCCUAAUUGAAAGGGACCAGGAAUUAACAACAGAAACAAUAGCCAAGACCAUGAACCAAUUGAUUCACUUUACAUGAUUCUGACUGAAAAAUUACAGCUGAACAAACUUUUCCCUCAAUAGAUGCCAAAACAUUUGUCCUCAGAUUGCCUACAAAGAAAAGCACAGCUUUCAACAGAAAGUUUAAACAAGACCCUUGCUUCAAAGAAUUUUAGCAGGAAAUGAAAUGGCUUCAUCAGGACAAUCCUGAAACAGACUACAAUCAAAGCAGUGGUUACCAGGAGAUGGAAGUCGUCCAGUCAAAGCAAAAAUGCACCCAUCAAGAGCAAAGGUGAUAGCAACAGUUUUUUUUUUUUGGAAUGCUCAAGGCAUUUCACCUGUAGGCUUUCCAGAGCCAGAGAUAACAUCUAUUUAUUAUGAGACUAUAUUGAGAAAGUCAGAUCUUCACCAGAAAAUGACUGAAUAAUUGUCACCAGAGAGCCCUUCUCCACCACGAACUUGCUCCUGUUUAUUUCUCCAAUGAAACAGAGAAUUUUGCAAUAGUUUCUAUGGGAAAUCAUUUGGGAUCUACCUUACCAUUCAGAUUUGGCUCCUCUGCAUCUUUUUGUUUUCUAAUUUAAAAAUAAAAC